rnacentral:lncRNA from 1 species
GAUUGCGAGGAGUAUACCGCAAGUUUCUCUUUCUAUGUAAUCAGUGGCAGUUAUCUCUCCCAUAGUCCACAUGGUGGUAGAGACUUUUGGAGCCACUUUGAAGCAUCUCAGCUGAAGGAGGAUGCGACCGCCUAUGAAAGGCGAAGACACCUUAGAUGGAAGGUGUGAGGGCCAUGAGAGGAGCCCCAAAUCAGACCGCCCCAUGACAACGGGCGAAGACACCUUGGAGAAGGUGUGAGGGCCAUGAUAGGAGCCCCAGUUCAGACCGCCCCACGACAACAGGCGA